rnacentral:rRNA from 1 species
UACGUAGGUGGCAAGCGUUGUCCGGAUUUACUGGGCGUAAAGAGCGCGCAGGCGGUCGUUCAAGUCGCGUGUGAAAGCCCCCGGCUCAACUGGGGAGGGUCACGCGAUACUGGCAGACUAGAGUACUGCAGGGGAGACUGGAAUUCCUGGUGUAGCGGUGGAAUGCGCAGAUAUCAGGAGGAACACCAAUUGCGAAGGCAGCUCGCUGGGACGUUACUGACGCUGAGACGCGAAAGCGUGGGGAGCAAACAGG